UGCUGGUUUUCCCACUGCGGUGUCUUCUGUGGCUUCAGCGUUGCCUAGUGCAGGCUGCCAUUCAACAAACGCAUUGUCAACAGUCAACCAAAAGAAACCCAUUGGCCACCAUGCCCUGAGGACUAACCCUGACGCAGAUGCCCUUCCAGAUGCCCUCAAUAGUCUGUUUCCAUCACCCCAGCCUUGGAAGAGAAGCACUGCUGCCUAUGCACUCCAUUUACAGGUGAACUGUCACCCCUACAACUCAGCUUGCAACCAGCCCUGGCCACCACCAGUUUCCCCACACUGAGCUGAAUAUUGGACAUGCCCAUCUUAGACAUUCCAGCCCAUUCUGAAAUUCCACAUCGAUUCACCCGACAAAGUCUGAAGUUCCAGGGCAAUUUAUCUGGAAAAGCUCACCUGGAAUCACGUGUCAUUUCAACCAACAACUGUUGAAGAGGACGUGGCAUCAAAACCAAGGUUAUCAAUUAUUUAUAA